rnacentral:rRNA from 1 species
UACGAAGGGGGCUAGCGUUGCUCGGAAUCACUGGGCGUAAAGGGCGCGUAGGCGGACUUUUAAGUCAGGGGUGAAAUCCUGAGGCUCAACCUCAGAACUGCCUUUGAUACUGAGGGUCUCGAGACCGGUAGAGGUAAGUGGAACUGCGAGUGUAGAGGUGAAAUUCGUAGAUAUUCGCAAGAACACCAGUGGCGAAGGCGGCUUACUGGACCGGUUCUGACGCUGAGGCGCGAAAGCGUGGGGAGCAACAGG